UACGGAGGGAGCUAGCGUUGUUCGGAAUUACUGGGCGUAAAGCGCACGUAGGCGGCUUUGUAAGUUAGAGGUGAAAGCCCGGGGCUCAACCCCGGAAUUGCCUUUAAGACUGCAUCGCUUGAAUCCGGGAGAGGUGAGUGGAAUUCCGAGUGUAGAGGUGAAUUGUAGAUAUUCGGAAGAACACCAGUGGCGAAGGCGGCUCACUGGACCGGUAUUGACGCUGAGGUGCGAAAGCGUGGGGAGCAAACAGG
rnacentral:rRNA from 1 species